rnacentral:rRNA from 1 species
CAAUAAGCGGAGGAAAAGAAACCAACAGGGAUUGCCCUAGUAACGGCGAGUGAAGCGGCAACAGCUCAAAUUUGAAAUCUGGCUACUUUGUAGUCCGAGUUGUAAUUUGUAGAGGAUGCUUUUGGUGAGGUGCUUUCUGAGUUCCCUGGAACGGGACGCCAGAGAGGGUGAGAGCCCCGUACAGUUAGCAACCGAUCCUUUGUAUAGCUCCUUCGACGAGUCGAGUAGUUUGGGAAUGCUGCUCUAAAUGGGAGGUAUAUCUCUUCUAAAGCUAAAUAUAGGCUAGAGACCGAUAGCGCACAAGUAGAGUGAUCGAAAGAUGAAAAGCACUUUGAAAAGAGAGUUAAACAGCACGUGAAAUUGUUGAAAGGGAAGCGCCUAUGACCAGACUUGUUUCUAUCAGUUUUGGUAGUUUUCGGACUGCUUUACUCUGUUAGUACAGGCCAACAUCAGUUUGUUGUCGGGGAGAAAGGCUUAGGGAAUGUGGCUCCCUCGGGAGUGUUAUAGACCUUUGCAUAAUACCCUUCGGCAGACUGAGGACCGCGCUUCGGCAAGGAUGUUGGCGUAAUGG